rnacentral:lncRNA from 1 species
GGUAAUUCCCACUCUCUUACGGGGCAAGGAGGCUGUCAUGGGGGCGUUGUUGACCAACAGUCUCUCCCUCUCUCUCUACUUUCCUGAGUAUGAAGCAUCUGGACUUCCACUGCGCUGUCUUCCACGAAGGCAGGCAGGAAAUAAGGGUCAGCGCGGGCCCGAGAGGAAGUGCGGUAAGCCCCGCAGGGAAUCAGAUGCUGGCCUGGUUUCACCUGAGGGCAACCUAUAUGUGGAGCUCAGUCCUUCCCCUGGAUUUCCACCAAACCUGUGUGAAUGCCUGUGAAACCGAUGCCACAGGGUCACAUCACAGCAGAACAAAUGAUCACAGACUGUUAAGUAGACUGCCUUGCUCUUAACAGUGUGUUGUUCCCCAGCCAUAUGGCUUGUCCUCUUUUCUCGCCAACCCCGCCACAACGAAAUCUUGUUCUGCUCUCCUCCACCCCCAGGUUCCUGCUAACUCCUAAUUCGGAAAGAUUCAAUUAUUAAUUAGAUCAUUUAAACAUUAAUUAAGAUUCAAGUGUCAGUUAAAUAAUAUUUGAUGAGCCUGUCUGCAGCUCAUCAGCGACUGGGGCACUCGGGAUGUUUUUGAUUCAGGAUCUCAC